GUUGAAUUGGACAAUCGUUCUGAGUCUAUGAAGCAAGGAUUUUGUGGGCAGUAAAACAGUUACUGUGUGUACGAAAGGGUCCCCGUGAAUGAGAGUGAGUGGAGGAGAAGACUCUCCCACUGCUGAUCCGGCAACCACCUGCACAUGAUAUUGAUAUUUCUGGCCCAGUGCCACUUCCCUGAACAGAUGAGACAAAGGCAUAUACAGUAGGUUACCAGAAAGGCCAUGGCCAGCAAAAUGGCACAAAGUCAACCGUUUCGUAAUGAGGAAAUCCAAUAAUGCACAAAUACAGAAAAUGAUGGCUGUUCCCUCAAUACUGGUGAACAGAAGGUCUUCCAUAUGGAAGAACCGCGAGGUACAGUAGAAUCUGUACAGAAGACCUGUAAAGAGAAGACCUUUACAGCGAAGACCUUUAAAAUGAAGACCUGUAAAGAGAAGACCUUUAAAGUGAAGACCUGCAAAAAGAAGACCCAAACCAGAAACAAACAAUGGCACAGGCAGCUAACGCCCCUUUUCCACUGUUGCAAU